rnacentral:rRNA from 1 species
CACGGGGGGAGCAAGCGUUGUUCGGAAUCACUGGGCGUAAAGGGAGUCUAGGCGGUCAGGUAAGUGGGAUGUGAAAUCCCUCGGCUCACCCGAGGACCUGCAUCCCAAACUGUCUGGCUUGAGUACGGGAGAGGAUAGGGGAAUUCCUGGUGUAGCGGUGAAAUGCGUAGAUAUCAGGAGGAACACCGGUGGCGAAGGCGCCUAUCUGGCCCGAUACUGACGCUGAGGCGCGAAAGCUAGGGGAGCAAACGGG